rnacentral:sRNA from 1 species
UACAAAUAAAAACAACCUAAGUACGCCACUUCCUGUGACAACAGCUGCAUGAUCUACAUCCUGUAGA